UACAGAGGUCUCAAGCGUUGUUCGGAUUCAUUGGGCGUAAAGGGUGCGUAGGUGGUGCCGUAAGUCAGGUGUGAAAUCUCGGGGCUCAACCCCGAAACUGCACUUGAUACUGCGGUGCUUGAGGACUGGAGAGGAGAUCGGAAUUCAUGGUGUAGCAGUGAAAUGCGUAGAUAUCAUGAGGAAGACCAGUGGCGAAGGCGGAUCUCUGGACAGUUCCUGACACUGAGGCACGAAGGCCAGGGGAGCAAAACGGG
rnacentral:rRNA from 1 species